AUUGAACGCUGGCAGCAGGCCUAACACAUGCAAGUCGAACGAGUGGCGGACGGGUGAGUAAUGUCUGGGAAACUGCCUGAUGGAGGGGGAUAACUACUGGAACCGGUAGCUAAUACCGCAUACCAUCAGAUGUGCCCAGCUGGGGUUAGCUUGUUGGUGGGUGAACGGCUCACCCAGGCGACGAUCCCUAGCUGGUCUGAGAGGAUGACACGCCAAACUGGAACAGAGACACGGUCCAGACUCCUACGGGAGGCAGCAGGGGGGAAUAUUGCACAAUGGGCGAAAGCCUGAUGCAGCAAUGCCGCGUGUAUGAAGAAGGCCUUCGGGUUGUAAAGUACUUUCAGCGGGGAGGCGUUACCCGCAGAAGAAGCACCGGCUAACUCCGUGCCAGCCGCCGCGGUAAUUC
rnacentral:rRNA from 1 species